AUUGAACGCUGGCGGCAGGCCUAACACAUGCAAGUCGAACGGUAACAGGAAGCAGCUUGCUGCUUCGCUGACGAGUGGCGGACGGGUGAGUAAUGUCUGGGAAGCUGCCUGAUGGAGGGGGAUAACUACUGGAAACGGUAGCUAAUACCGCAUAAUGUCUCAAGACCAAAGAGGGGGACCUUCUGGCCUCUUGCCGUCGGAUGUUCCCAGAUGGGAUUCGCUUGUUGGUGGGGUAACGGCUCACCAAGGCGCCGAUCCCUCGCUGGUCCGAGAGGAUGACCAGCCACACUGGAACUGAGACACGGUCCAGACUCCUACGGGAGGCAGCAGUGGGGAAUAGUGCACAAUGGGCGCAAGCCUGAUGCAGCCAUGCCGAGUGUAUGAAGAAGGCCUUCGGGUUGUAAAGUACUUUCAGCGGGGAGGAAGGGAGUAAAGUUAAGACCUUUGCUCAUUGACGUUACCCGCAGAAGAAGCACCGGCUAACUACGUG
rnacentral:rRNA from 1 species